GACAGGAAGUGGGCUCCAACCAAGGCGCAGAUGCCAUAACCCCUGCAGAGGGUACAAGCGCUCUGCUCCAUCUGGACACGUAGCGGCGUGAGCGGGCGGCAGAAAACAAGCAGAGCUGAGGUGGAGAGGCGGCAGAGUGUCUGGUCGGCCGAGUUCAAAAGGGAGUAAUGAGGGAGCAGCUUUGAAGUGCAGGGAGCACAGAACAUCGAGGAGAAGACCACCUCCAUUGGAGCUCGGGUUCUAAGUGGGUCAGAUGGAUGUCCCUCUGGUGUGAGCUGUGCAUCUUGUUUCAUUGCUACUGGAGCAGGCGAAUAUCCUCCGGGCCAGCGGGUUUAUUGCGUGUCACAGCCUGUGAGAUGGGAAUACAGUCUUUGCUGCAUCUGUUGCAGACAAUAUACCUUUUGAUCAACUGCACGACAGCCAUCUCCAGACUUCUUUUCAUUCCUCUUUUCAUGCACAAGUUCAGAGAGAAGCGUAUCUAUACAAAUAUAUGUAUAUUAUCAGCACUGCUGACCGAAAGAAAGUAUCUUUUAAAUCAUCCUUCAGUUUAGACCUUUCUUUCCUUUUGCAAUUAGUUCAAAAUGCACAAGUGUGGAAUUCAAAGUGUUAUGCAGGAUUCUUUAUCACAUGCUUGAUGUUUCAUCUCACAGCAGCCUGUUGGUGAAGAUGCUACUUGUUUCAGGAUUUGAUCAAAAUCUUCUUUGCUUGUGUUAUUAAAAAAAAAAACAUGUAAU